UACGAUAAGGGGUUGUAUCAGUUCAAUUUGUCGCCUGCAGAUGGCGCUUUCCUAUCUGUCGAACACCCAAGCAGCCAUUAAAAUGUCCCCCCAGCAACACUUUUGCGUCAUUAUUGAAAGCAAUUUCCCACAGCAAAUAGAAAAUCGAAAAACAAUACAAAAAAAGAACAGAAAGACAGAAAAUGAAAGCGAAAAAUAAAAUGAAAUAAAAUCAAACAAAAGAAAGUGAAGAAGAAAAUGCGACAAAUUCCAGGGCUCAGGCCGCAGCUUAGAGCCCGAUGCGCGAAUAUUGCGCAUACGGCACCCCCGUCCCCCAAGGGAAAAAUACCCAGAGCAACACCUCCGAGACCCCCGAUGGCCGCCCGCCUGCGAACCGAUCCAGAGUUCCAGGGAUCCAUGAGCCACAGCCGGCCCAAUUGCUGGAGACAGGGCAGACGCACCAGGAAAGGAGCACAACAAACCCAAAGCACACCAAACCAUACUAUAGAGAACCAAACAGAACCGAACCGAACCUAGAGAGAUGGCGAAAAUAUUGUUGGCAUACUUUUUCAAGUGUUUCCUGCCUUCCUGUAUGUUGUCCUGGCUCCUUGCUCCUCCGCCGCCGUUGACUGUUUAUUUUAACUUUUGGCAUUUUGUGCGCGAGCCGGGGGAAUUUCGGAUGGCUGAAAUAGGAAAGUAAAACAAAAAGCGGUUAAACAAAAAUAUGAAAAAUAAAUUGAAACACUCAACCGGGCCUGUCUAUCUCAACAGAGCGCACAUAAA